UUGGAGGGCAAGUCUGGUGCCAGCAGCCGCGGUAAUUCCAGCUCCAAUAGCGUAUAUUAAAGUUGUUGCAGUUAAAAAGCUCGUAGUUGAAUUUCGGAAUCCAUCCGUCGGUCGGGCCUCACGGUCCGCACUGGUGUGAUGGAUUCCUACCUUCUGAAUAACCAGCAUGCCAUUAAUUUGGUGCGUUGGGGAAGCAGGACUGUUACCUUGAAAAAAUUAGAGUGCUUAAAGCAGGCUAGUGCCUGAAUACAUUAGCAUGGAAUAAUGAAAUAGGACGGCAUGGUUCUAUUUUGUUGGUUUCUAGGAUCACCGUAAUGAUUAAUAGGGAUAGUUGGGGGCAUUAGUAUUCAAUUGUCAGAGGUGAAAUUCUUGGAUUUAUUGAAGACUAACUUCUGCGAAAGCAUUUGCCAAGGAUGUUUUCAUUAAUCAAGAACGAAAGUUAGGGGAUCGAAGACGAUCAGAUACCGUCGUAGUCUUAACCAUAAACUAUGCCGACUAGGGAUCGGACGAUGUUAAUUUUUUAAUGACUCGUUCGGCGCCUUACGGGAAAC
rnacentral:rRNA from 1 species